AAAGUGUUCUAUAUGUCCUCUCUGUGGAAGACGUGUGUUUUCUCUGGGUCCUCCGGUUUCCUUCCAUAGUCCAAAGACGUACAGGUGCCAACUAGGACUCAGGCCAUGGUGUUGCCUGUUUACAGCCACUAGGAGAGAGAUGUAGGGGCCAGUGUGGCGCGGCGUCCAGGCUGGAAAUGGUGCUGCCCCCCAGUGUUCACUUGGCAGAAGACAAACUGUAUCAUGGUUGACGGCAGCAUUCAUGGCUCGGGUCUGGAAUAUUAUUGAGCAAGGUGGCAUGCCUGAAUGACUAUCGACCUGUGGCUCUGACAUCAAUUGCUAUGAAGUGCUUUGAGAGAUUUGUUAUGGCACACAUCAACCACAGCCUACCGGUCAACCUUGACGCUUUGCAAUUCGCCUACUGGAGCAACAGGUCAAUGGCAGAUGCCAUCUGUCUGGCCCUACAUUCCUCCUUAGAACACCUGGAGAAUAAAGACACAUACGUUUCAUGGAACUGCUGAACAAUGUUCAAACAAUCAAGAAAGGCAUCCAGCCUCCAUCCAGAUUUCUAAGCUGCUCUUUCUUUCUCUGGUUUAAACCCAAGGCCAAAAAAUGUCUGUGAGGAAAAACGCUUUUAUUUAGAAAAGAAUUAUAAAUUUAUCUUGCUGGUGUGAUGGAUUGUUCGUUAAUCUCGCUUUCUAAUCACAGCAGCUGCCACUCAUAAGGUGAAAAAGUUGUAAGUAAACUUCUAACCAAUAUUGCUUUAUUUAUUAUUUUCUGGUUGUAAAUGGGAGUCAGUUUUCAGUUCGUAAAAUGCAAAUAGAAAACAGUAAUCAGCAUGAAGUUACAAACAGAGCUUUGCAAAUAAGCUCUGUUUAUAGCAUUCUGUCUUGCAGCACAACAAGCUGCAGUAUAAGACAACGGGUUAUUUAAUUUGGCUUGUUUCAGGACAAACCAGCUAAGUUGUUUUAGUUCAAGGAAGCAUUCACUUAGCACAUUAAAUAACUGAUUUACUAAUGUUGGUAGGUUUAUGUACUCAGAUUAGCCACCUUUACAGCAUUAGCUGAGAUCCAUGUCUCCAAGAUGUUUUUUGACCAUUUAUGUUAAAAAGGUAUCUGAGAAAAUAUCUAAUGUAUGUGGUCACCAAUGUAGUUGGGAAAAUGUAUAAAUGUAGCUAAAGAAUUGGUAAGGAACAUCAAGAAACAUGGGGUGAACUAGAAUCCAUUCCUGCAGCUUUGCUUUCUACGAUGGAGGAUUUGUUUGUCGGCAUCAUUGGCAUGUCUUUUUAGUUUUGAAAAUCCUUUAUCCUUUGUCCUUUAUGUGUUUGAAAUGGUUUGUAAUUUUGAAAUAUUUAAGAUAGAAAUUCCUCAGAGUUUUAAAUGUGUUUUAAGAAUGUUAUUUGGAUUUAAAUGUGCAUCACUGA